rnacentral:rRNA from 1 species
UCCUACGGGGCGCAGCAGUGAGGAAUAUUGGUCAAUGGGCGGGAGCCUGAACCAGCCAAGCCGCGUGAGGGAAGAAGGUACAGCGUAUCGUAAACCUCUUUUGUCAGGGAACAAAGGCGGGGACUAGUCCCCGGAUGAGGGUACCUGAAGAAAAAGCAUCGGCUAACUCCGUGCCAGCAGCCGCGGUAAUACGGAGGAUGCGAGCGUUAUCCGGAUUUAUUGGGUUUAAAGGGUGCGCAGGCGGCCUGUUAAGUCAGCGGUAAAAGACCGGGGCUCAACCCCGACGAGCCGUUGAGAAUGGCGGG